UACGUAGGGGGCAAGCGUUGUCCGGAAUCAUUGGGCGUAAAGCGCGUGUAGGCGGUCCGGUAAGUCCGCUGUGAAAGUCGGGGGCUCAACCCUCGGAUGCCGGUGGAUACUGUCGGGCUUGAGUACGGAAGAGGCGAGUGGAAUUCCUGGUGUAGCGGUGGAAUGCGCAGAUAUCAGGAGGAACACCAAUUGCGAAGGCAGCUCGCUGGGACGUAACUGACGCUGAGACGCGAAAGCGUGGGGAGCGAACAGG
rnacentral:rRNA from 1 species